rnacentral:rRNA from 1 species
AUUGAACGCUGGCGGCAGGCCUAACACAUGCAAGUCGAACGAGUGGCGGAAGGGUGAGCAAUGUCUGGGAACCUGCGUGAUGGAGGGGGAUAACUACUGGAAACGGUAGCUACUUACGCAUACAAUCAGAUGUGCCGAGGUGGGAUGAGCUUGUUGGUGGGGGAACGGCUCACCAAGGCGACGAUCCCUAGCUGGUCUGAGAGGAUGACCAGCCACACUGGAACUGAGACACGGUCCAGACUCCUACGGGAGGCAGCAGUGGGGAAUAUUGCACAAUGGGCGCAAGCCUGAUGCAGCCAUGCCGCGUGUAUGAAGAAGGCCUUCGGAUUGUAAAGUACUUUCAGCGGGGAGGCGUUACCCGCAGAAGAAGCACCGGCUAACUCCGUGCCAGCAGCCGCGGUAAUUC